rnacentral:hammerhead_ribozyme from 1 species
CAUUGGCUGACGAGUCUCAAAUAGGACGAAAUGUUCAUCCUGGUG